rnacentral:lncRNA from 1 species
CAAGCAGUAUUAGGUGUUCCUGCCAACAUCUUCAGCUAAGAAUUCAACUCCUCACUAAUAUUGAUUGUGAUACCUGAGAAUGAGUAAACCUCUAGGACAGAGUCAGCAAACAUUUUCUUUAAGAGCCAAGUAGCAGAUAUUUAGACUAUUCUUAGUUCAUGGGCUGUAUAAAAAUAGACAGAAUUUGGCCUGUGAGGCUGUAGUUUACCCUGCUUUAAAUGGUUCCUAUACCCAACCUUUAAGGCAUCCCAGCUAAAGGUGAGUGGAGCAGAAAUGAGCUGACCCCACUGAGCUUUGUCCAAAUGUUUCCUCUUCCAUAAAAUGAAGAUAACAGUAGUACCUCUUGGAUGGAUGUGUUAAGAAAAAGAUAAUGCCUGUGAAGUACCUAGCGCAGGACCUAGCACAGUACAUAGCACGGUACCUGGAGAACUGUCAUUCAUUCAUGUCUAAAAGGAGCAGUUGGAUUCAGUGAAAAGGCUAAUACAGGGAGAGACAAAACCCAGGAAAAUGUAAAAUAUCAUGGACUAAACUACUGAGCCAAGUGUCCUAGAAAGGACAUAGCAAAGAAGACUGGAGAUGGCUGAAUUGAG